AUGACGAAAGUCCAAAGAUUUAUCGCCCAGGGAUGAGCCCGCGUAGGAUUAGCUAGUUGGUGGGGUAAAGGCUCACCAAGGCAACGAUCCUUAGCUGGUCUGAGAGGAUGAUCAGCCACACUGGGACUGAGACACGGCCCAGACUCCUACGGGAGGCAGCAGUAGGGAAUAUUGGACAAUGGGCGAAAGCCUGAUCCAGCAAUGCCGCGUGAGUGAUGAAGGCCUUAGGGUUGUAAAGCUCUUUUACCCGAGAUGAUAAUGACAGUAUCGGGAGAAUAAGCUCCGGCUAACUCCGUGCCAGCAGCCGCGGUAAUACGGAGGGAGCUAGCGUUGUUCGGAAUUACUGGGCGUAAAGCGCACGUAGGCGGCGAUUUAAGUCAGAGGUGAAAGCCCGGGGCUCAACCCCGGAACUGCCUUUGAGACUGGAUUGCUAGAAUCUUGGAGAGGCGAGUGGAAUUCCGAGUGUAGAGGUGAAAUUCGUAGAUAUUCGGAAGAACACCAGUGGCGAAGGCGGCUCGCUGGACAAGUAUUGACGCUGAGGUGCGAAAGCGUGGGGAGCAAACAAAUACGA
rnacentral:rRNA from 1 species